GUACUGCUGAGGAGUCCCAUACUAGGACGAAACGGCCGUCCAGUAC
rnacentral:hammerhead_ribozyme from 1 species